GGCGAACGCUGGCGGCGUGCUUAACACAUGCAAGUCGAACGGGUCUGCCCUGUUUUUUGCGGGGUGGGUCAGUGGCGAACGGGUGAGUAACACGUGAGUAACCUGCCCCUCACUUCUGGAUAACCGCUUGAAAGGGUGGCUAAUACGGGGUGUUCUGGCUGUGCCGCAUGGUGUGGCUGGGAAAGAUUCACUUUUGUGGUGUUUUGGUGGGGGAUGGGCUCGCGGCCUAUCAGCUUGUUGGUGGGGUGAUGGCCUGCCAAGGCUUUGACGGGUAGCCGGCCUGAGAGGGUGGGCGGUCACACUGGGACUGAGAUACGGCCCAGACUCCUGCGGGAGGCAGCAGUGGGGGGUAUUGCACAAUGGGCGGAAGCCUGAUGCAGCGACGUCGCGUGAGGGAUGGAGGCCUGCGGGUUGUGAACCUCUUUCGCCGGUGAAGAAGGUCCUGCUCUUUGUGGUGGGGUUGACGGUAGCCGGGUUAUGAAGCGCCGGCUAACUACGCG
rnacentral:rRNA from 1 species